GGGGAAUAUUGGACAAUGGGGGCAACCCUGAUCCAGCCAUGCCGCGUGUGUGAAGAAGGCCUUCGGGUUGUAAAGCACUUUAAGCGAGGAGGAAGGUUUUUAGUUUAAUACACUAAAGAAUUGACGUUACUCGCAGAAUAAGCACCGGCUAACUCUGUGCCAGCAGCCGCGGUAAUACAGAGGGUGCAAGCGUUAAUCGGAAUUACUGGGCGUAAAGCGCGCGUAGGCGGUUUGUUAAGUCGGAUGUGAAAUCCCUGGGCUCAACCUAGGCACUGCAUCCGAUACUGGCUAACUAGAGUGUGGGAGAGGAAGGUAGAAUUCCAGGUGUAGCGGUGAAAUGCGUAGAGAUCUGGAGGAAUACCGAUGGCGAAGGCAGCCUUCUGGCCUAACACUGACGCUGAGGUGCGAAAGCAUGGGGAGCAAAC
rnacentral:rRNA from 1 species